GAACGCUGGCGGCGUGCCUAAUACAUGCAAGUCGAACGAACUCUGGUAUUGAUUGGUGCUUGCAUCAUGAUUUACAUUUGAGUGAGUGGCGAACUGGUGAGUAACACGUGGGAAACCUGCCCAGAAGCGGGGGAUAACACCUGGAAACAGAUGCUAAUACCGCAUAACAACUUGGACCGCAUGGUCCGAGUUUGAAAGAUGGCUUCGGCUAUCACUUUUGGAUGGUCCCGCGGCGUAUUAGCUAGAUGGUGGGGUAACGGCUCACCAUGGCAAUGAUACGUAGCCGACCUGAGAGGGUAAUCGGCCACAUUGGGACUGAGACACGGCCCAAACUCCUACGGGAGGCAGCAGUAGGGAAUCUUCCACAAUGGACGAAAGUCUGAUGGAGCAACGCCGCGUGAGUGAAGAAGGGUUUCGGCUCGUAAAACUCUGUUGUUAAAGAAGAACAUAUCUGAGAGUAACUGUUCAGGUAUUGACGGUAUUUAACCAGAAAGCCACGGCUAACUACGUGCCAGCAGCCGCGGUAAUACGUAGGUGGCAAGCGUUGUCCGGAUUUAUUGGGCGUAAAGCGAGCGCAGGCGGUUUUUUAAGUCUGAUGUGAAAGCCUUCGGCUCAACCGAAGAAGUGCAUCGGAAACUGGGAAACUUGAGUGCAGAAGAGGACAGUGGAACUCCAUGUGUAGCGGUGAAAUGCGUAGAUAUAUGGAAGAACACCAGUGGCGAAGGCGGCUGUCUGGUCUGUAACUGACGCUGAGGCUCGAAAGUAUGGGUAGCAAACAGGAUUAGAUACCCUGGUAGUCCAUACCGUAAACGAUGAAUGCUAAGUGUUGGAGGGUUUCCGCCCUUCAGUGCUGCAGCUAACGCAUUAAGCAUUCCGCCUGGGGAGUACGGCCGCAAGGCUGAAACUCAAAGGAAUUGACGGGGGCCCGCACAAGCGGUGGAGCAUGUGGUUUAAUUCGAAGCUACGCGAAGAACCUUACCAGGUCUUGACAUACUAUGCAAAUCUAAGAGAUUAGACGUUCCCUUCGGGGACAUGGAUACAGGUGGUGCAUGGUUGUCGUCAGCUCGUGUCGUGAGAUGUUGGGUUAAGUCCCGCAACGAGCGCAACCCUUAUUAUCAGUUGCCAGCAUUAAGUUGGGCACUCUGGUGAGACUGCCGGUGACAAACCGGAGGAAGGUGGGGAUGACGUCAAAUCAUCAUGCCCCUUAUGACCUGGGCUACACACGUGCUACAAUGGAUGGUACAACGAGUUGCGAACUCGCGAGAGUAAGCUAAUCUCUUAAAGCCAUUCUCAGUUCGGAUUGUAGGCUGCAACUCGCCUACAUGAAGUCGGAAUCGCUAGUAAUCGCGGAUCAGCAUGCCGCGGUGAAUACGUUCCCGGGCCUUGUACACACCGCCCGUCACACCAUGAGAGUUUGUAACACCCAAAGUCGGUGGGGUAACCUUUUAGGAACCAGCCGCCUAAGGUGGGACAGAUGAUU
rnacentral:rRNA from 2 species